rnacentral:rRNA from 1 species
ACGGUACCUGCAGAAUAAGCCCCGGCUAACUCCGUGCCAGCAGCCGCGGUAAUACGAAGGGUGCGAGCGUUGAUCGGAAUUACUGGGCGUAAAGCGCGCGUAGGCGGUUUGUUAAGUCGGAUGUGAAAGCCCCGGGCUCAACCUGGGAACUGCGUUCGAUACUGCCUAGCUAGAGUAUGGUAGAGGUCAGUGGAAUUCCCGGUGUAGCGGUGAAAUGCGUAGAUAUCGUGGAGGAACACCAGUGGCGAAGGCGGCUCCCUGGACCAACACUGACGCUGAGGNGCGAAAGCGUGGGAGC